GUAAGGUCUUGCUCCCCUUGUGGCUAUGUACAGUAUUUACGGCUUAUAUGUUCGGUCCUGCUUCCUAGUGGCUAUGUGAGGGUAAUACAGCUUGCGUGUUUGAAUCUGCUUCCUAGAGGCUAUGUGGGGGCAGCUUAUGUUCUUAAAAUACGUAACAGUAUGAAUGUGUGAAUUAUGUAACAGUAUCCUUCUAUUAAUUUGUUUCAUGUCUUCUGUGUUUUUGUUUGUUUAGCUCAGACUUUCACUGUGCUCGACCUGAUAGAGCCAGUGGAGCCGGAUGAUGGAAACCUGAAAGCCGAAGCAGCAUCACCAGUGAAUGCCCCUGCUGAAAAGUGCUCCAAGCUUGGCUGUCACCAGGAACUUCUUAGAUUGGAGACAGAAAGAUGCAUGCUUGACAUUGAAAUGCUCAUUUAAAAAAAUAAGUCAUUUUGCUACAGAAAGAGGUCCUAUCACUUCAGAAGCAAACGAUACUGGACAUAAGCCAGUCGCAACCAAUAUAAUUUGUAAUUAAGUAGUGAAUUAAUUCUGAAACUUUGUUAUCAUUAACGUAUUAAUUUAUAAAGUUGAAUACGCUCCGCCGUAGCGUUUCCGUCUACACUGCCAAGACGCAAAACACUGCUCAGAUCUGCUCACGUCGCGUACGCGUUUACGUCACAUACAUGUGCCAGUACAAUGAAAUAAACAAACAUGUCCGAUUAUUUCCAUGUGUCGGACCUUCAAGCUGCUCUGGCUGCUCCAACAAGCGUACAGGAGUCUUUUCACGAAAUGUACAGGAUAUUUACAGAUAGAAUUACUGAACAGAGAAGGAUCUUUUUGGUUUUUGAGGCACGGAUAAGAGAAGAAGGAAGAUUCUAAGCAUGCGCUCAGACAUGUCGGUGUUGUGUGAUAGUGUAUCACAGCACCACCUAGCCGCCUGGCAUGCAUACCAAUCGAAUUCCACACACUUUUGCGUCACCGUAUGCACGCAGAUUUCCUCCCGAAAACGCUCGUCUAAACGCGGAAUAAAAAGUGAAUACGCAACGUCACUUUUGCGUCUUCAUUUCAGACCGUCAUUGUGUAAACGUAGCCUCAGUUUGACACAUUUUGGGAAAAAUUCUCUUAAGACAGACAGACCACAGAACCUCGUGCAGCAGCAACCCCUACAGAAACAACCAAGAAAUAUGAGCCACUUGAGUGACUAUGUGGUAGACACCACAGUUGGUCACGUCAAAAAGAAGCGGAAGGGAGGACUGGGUGUAAAAGACUGUAUUUCAGUACUCUGGAUGCUGUAGUGGGAGAGAUGAAAGCUAGAUUCAGAGUAAGAAACAGCCACUGGUGCAGGCCCUGUGCACCUUACACCCAGGGAGUGAAGAUUUCCUGGAUGCAAACAAAGUGAGACCACUGCUUGACCUCACAGGCACAGACAUGAAGGAAGCUGAUUUUGCUGUAGCACAGCAGUUUCUGCAGGACGAAAUGGCCAAAUAAAAUAAAAUCUGGACUACACAGGACAUUUUGAUAAGAUACUGUGAGCCUCUAGCAGCCAUGCCUACUGUGCUAAAAACACUCAAGCUGAGCCUUACCUUCGGUGAAUCAACUGCAACAUGCGAAAAUUCAUUUUCAACUCUAAAAAAUGUGUUCAGUGAACACAGAAGGAGCAUGUCCCACUAAAGAAUAGCCUGUCUCAUCCAGAUUGCUGUGGAGAAGGACCUCACCAAAAAGUUAACUGGACACUGGAAAGAGUCGCUGCUUAGAAGAUUCAGAACAGCUCCAAGGAGGCUGCAGCUCUUCUGAGGGUAAGAAAUAUUUUUUGUAAUCACAUUUCAGAUUUUAUUGUAUCAAGUAUUAUGAUUUUUUUUUGAUUUUUUUCUUGUGUAGAAUUCUGUUCUUUUUACACAUCACACAUAUCAAAAACCUAUCUCAUAUCCAAAGCUAUCUAAGAUAUCAAUAAGCUAAUGUUGCAGCUGAAAUGUUCUCCACAUCAAAAGACAUGAUAUGAUACCAUCUUUUAAGCACAGUAAAUGUUUGUUGUCCCAACAUGUCAGUAGAACUACGCAGAAGUGCUUGUCUAUGGUAGAAAGGCCUGUGUGUAAAAAAGUGAAGUCUUUACUGAAGCUGGGUAGCUGGUUUUAGUAUAGUACUGGUGCACCCCCUGUAAUCUCAGAUGCACCCCAAGGCAUUCUGGUCUGGAACCGGGCCUGGUAAAUUGGUUCCACAUUGCCGUUUUCUAUGGCAUGCCUUGUUUCCCUGGGGAGUGGUUUGGCGUCACACCUGUGUGUCAAGCUUCAGUGGGUGCUGAUACACGGAGCUGGUGAGUUGUGUUUGUGUCUCUCUCCCUUUGAUUAUUUUUUUAAAACUUUUGUAUGGUGCCCAUGGACCGUUGUGGUGGAUUACCCUGCUUCGCAAUGUGCUUUUGGGCACGUGGGAGAAAUUCCCUGGUGUAGACAAUUUUCCGUCAUUUAAUUGUUGGAAGGGCCGACUUUUAGAAUUCGCAAAACAAAAGUACUUUCUUCAAGUAUAAUUAUUUACAAUUUCAAACACAAAAAAUCAAAAAGUGAGUUGCCACAUCAGCUGAUGAUCGAGACGGAGGCUGGCACAAAUGAUGUCAACGAGCAACACUGUUCCUGUAAAGCUGGCUCCCCAGGGUUCUGCGCCCACAUCAUUGGGCUUAUCCAUACCCUGGACCCAGGCCUACAACUACAGACAGAAAAAAGAGACCCAUCUUCUGCCAAUACAACAACAACAGGGCCGCCCAGAGACGUUGGCCCGCCAAUGAGACUCGACCGUGCGAGCGCCACAUGUGCGCGCGCGUGCGUGUGUGUGUGUUAGGGCUGUCAAUCCUCCCCUCAAAUCA